rnacentral:tRNA from 1 species
GCUCACGUAGUUUAACUAAAAUUUAACACUGAAGAUGUUAAGAUAGACCCUAAGAAGUCUCGUAAGCA